rnacentral:miRNA from 1 species
UCAGUCAUUGAAGUGCUCUGAU